rnacentral:rRNA from 1 species
GACGAACGCUGGCGGCGUGCUUAACACAUGCAAGUCGAACGGAAAGGCCCUGCUUGCAGGGUACUCGAGUGGCGAACGGGUGAGUAACACGUGGGUGAUCUGCCCUGCACUUCGGGAUAAGCCUGGGAAACUGGGUCUAAUACCGGAUAGGAGCCAUUUUUAGUGUGAUGGUUGGAAAGUUUUUUCGGGGUAGGAUGAGCUCGCGGCCUAUCAGCUUGUUGGGGGGGUAAUGGCCUACCAAGGCGGCGACGGGUAGCCGGCCUGAGAGGGUGGACGGCCACAUUGGGACUGAGAUACGGCCCAGACUCCGACGGGAGGCAGCAGUGGGGAAUAUUGCACAAUGGGCGCAAGCCUGAUGCAGCGACGCCGCGUGGGGGAUGACGGCCUUCGGGUUGUAAACUCCUUUCGCUAGGGACGAAGCUUUUUGUGACGGUACCUAGAUAAGAAGCACCGGCUAACUACGUG